CACAAACCAGGAAUUUACAGCUGAAGCAUUGCAGGGAAUACUGACUGAAGACUUUCCCCACUCCCAGGCCCCUGAGCCUGUGUAGGGAUGUGAUUUAGAUUGGACUGUGACAGAAGGAGUGGGAUCGUUUUUUGAUUGAUCUAUUUUCGUAUUUUGUCUGAUGUCGUUUUCCCCGCUUUUCUGGAAUGGGCAUUACUUUAUUUCCCCCCAGUUCACUAACUGUACAGUAGGUGGCAACAUACACAUUCAAUUUGUGUGAACGAAACAGGAACUUCCGGGCAGGCGCAAGCCAUUCUUCAGAAUAAAGAAAGCGCCAGAACUCUGAUGUUAAUAUGAUAACUUUUGUCUCCGUAUUAAAUGUAUGGCUACAGGCUGACUCAGAUUAAGUCUGAGGCCAGUAACAUCAACAGUGAGGACAAACCCAGCCUGCCUCUCUCCCUCCACACUGAGUCCAAACCUACAGUCACUGGGUCCUGAUUGUGACAGUGGAUCCCAGUUUGCACUGCAGGAUCCAGAGAUGGCAUCAGUGAAGCUGGAAGACUGCAGUCAAACACUGGAGCUGAAUGUCAACAUUAAAGAUGAAGAAGAGGAGGAGGAGAUUAGGACAACUGUUAAUCAUGACCCUUUGCUAUGAGAUGAUCCUUGAGAUGUUUCUACAACUUGAUUGGAGUCCACCUGUGGAUACCAUGUUGAGACAUUCUCUACAUCCAGAGAGCAACAGCAGGACGAUCAGAGAGCUAAGAGGUCUCAUCACUGCCCACAUUGUGAAGAGAUUUUCCCAUUUCUGUCAAAGCUAAAAAUACACCUAAUAAUACACACAGGAGAGAAGCCUUACUCCUGCUCUGAUUGUGGAAAAUGCUUCAAAACAUCAACGGUGCUAAAAGUUCACCAGAAGACUCACACAGGAGAGAAGCCUUUCUUCUGCCCUGACUGUGGAACUAGUUUCUCUCAACUUUUCCGCUUAAAAUCACAUGAACGUAUACAUACAGGGGAGAAGCCAUACUCCUGCUCUGACUGUGGAACUAGUUUCUCUCAACUUUCGAACUUAAAAAGACAUGAACGUAUACAUACAGGGGAGAAGCUAUGCUCCUGCUCUGACUGUGGAAAAUGUUUUAAAACAUCAACUGAUCUAAAAGUUCAUCAGAGAACACACACAGGAGAGAAGCCAUACUCCUGCU